UCUAUACCUGUUUUCCACCAGAGCUCAUACAGAAGAGCACAGAGGUUUCUCCUCGAAUUUAGACGAUUUAGUAUUACUUAAAAUCUUCUCAGGUGGGAUAUUUUUCUCUCAACAAAGACAACCAUGAACAAAGGAAAACCAACUUUAUCAAGAUCUUGGACUUUUUUGGGGACUUUGAAACAAAGAGAUUCCUGCUCAGUCUAUGGACAAUCCUUGUGGAUAUCGUGGGGUAGUGGUCAAUGUCCACGUAACUGUUCUCACUUCUGCCCAACAGGCUGCACAGGGAACCACCCACAGUGGUGGACAAGAGCCUCAGAGCACAGUGGCACCACCUGACUCCUCCACUGAUAAAGAUGAGGAAAUCCCCAUGGAGGUAGAUUAGCAGGAGUAAGAGAACCCUCAUUCUGGCAAGAAACAAGAGGACUUGCCUAUGGGUGAAUAAAACACAACAAUAUUUGGC